rnacentral:rRNA from 1 species
CCUACGGGUGGCAGCAGUGAGGAAUAUUGGUCAAUGGGCGCGAGCCUGAACCAGCCAAGUCGCGUGAAGGAUGACUGCCCUAUGGGUUGUAAACUUCUUUUAUAUGGGAAUAAAGUGCGGGACGUGUACUGUUUUGCAUGUACCUUAUGAAUAAGGAUCGGCUAACUCCGUGCCAGCAGCCGCGGUAAUACGGAGGAUCCGAGCGUUAUCCGGAUUUAUUGGGUUUAAAGGGAGCGUAGGCGGGUUUUUAAGUCAGUUGUGAAAGUUUGGGGCUCAACCGUAAAAUUGCAGUUGAUACUGGCAGGCUUGAGUACAGUAGAGGUAGGCGGAAUUCGAGGUGUAGCGGUGAAAUGCUUAGAUAUCACGAAGAACUCCGAUUGCGAAGGCAGCCUGCUAGACUGUAACUGACGCUGAUGCUCGAAAGCGUGGGUAUCAAACAGGAUUAGAUACCCCAGUAGUC